rnacentral:tRNA from 1 species
GCAGGCUUGGCCGAAUGGUUAAGCGGUCCGCUUCGUAAGCAGAAGAUUGUGGGUUAGAUUCCCAUCUGCU